UCAUUGCCUUGGAAGCUUCAUCACGAUACGACAUUGCAUUUCUGAAGAGGGAAGAAGAAAUCAACAUGCAAAUUCAAUUCCAUGGUUUUGGAAGUCCCAUUGAGAACACGAUUCAUUUGCGCCGGCAUAAUGCUCUGACCGAGAAAGAAUUGAGGUAAUUGCAUGACAGUUUGACUGGUUCGUUGAGAGUGAGGAACCUAUGGACUCUCAGACACCAAGAUGGAAUUUAGUUCAAAGAGUGACUUCAAAAUGUUCCGCAAGUUUUAGCGUAAACUGGUGGAGACUUUCGGUGCUUGCAAAAAGGCUCACCUCUCCGUUCAUACCGAAGGAAAAUGGGAGUUUAAAAAACCAUACGAUGAGACUGUUUUGAUGAGGAAUUUAAAGAUUACGAGUCGUGUCCGUUUGACUCACAGUUUGGUACCAUAGGUUGGUACGAUCUUCGUUGGAGAAGGAAAAGGGAUGUUCCAGAUCCAGAAAAUCGUCAAACCAUUUACUACAAAGUCCGUUUCUGGGUGGAGUUAGUGGAACCGAAAAAGAUGUCUCUCUCACAGCGUUUGUGACACAAGAAUUGCAUCGUUCCUUGGCGGCCUUUCAACAGAAGAAUAUUCAGAGAUUUCCCGAGUGAUUGUGAUGUCGGUUCCUGGAAAGCCUCCAUUGUUGGAGGACGAGAAGCCGUAUCCAAUUGAAGCAGCACAGGCUUUUGCGAUGACUGUGGAAACCACUGCUUAUGCCUUGCUUCAAGCAUUGUCAAGGAAUGAUAUUGACUAUGCAACACCGAUUGCGAGGUGGCUAACGAUGCAACAGAACUAUGGUGGUGGGUUUCACUCGACGCAGGUAAAUGCUUGAGAUCACAACAGCAGGCAUUCAGAUAUUUCCAUUGAUCAUGUUACUAACUGGUGGUUGUUGCAGUUUGCAAUCAAACUGGACACUGCAUUUUCAUCUGCACGUUUGGUGCAUUGGCACAAAUUCCAGCUCUUCAAUGGUGUUAAUCCUUGGUUAAAUUCUUACAUGCACUUUGUCUGUGCAUCAGUUUUCCUUUUGGCAUUGUCCUUGAAAAGUACCUGUUUGUGCAAACCUUCACUUACUUGUCAUAGGAUCAUUGAGGGACAGCAUAAUAGAGUGCUAUGGCAAUGGAACAGACCCUUCAGCAAAUUGUAUGUGCCCUCACAAGAUGCGAGUCCCGAACUAUUCUCAUCACAUUUCCCAGCACUCGACCCAGAGCCUUGUAUGCCUUGGUAUCGCAAAUGACCAAUCAAAGACUUGUUAAGUGUUAUCAUGGUUUCUGCCUCUACCAUCCACACAGUCGGUGCGUUCCACAUUCUCACCACAGUUUGGGUGCAAAAACAAGUCAGUUUCCUCGAGAGAUAGUAGGAACUUGCCAAUUCUGGAGAAUCUGAGAGAACAAGGAGUAGAACUGGAUGAACACAGCGGGCCGAGCAGCAUCAGAGAAGCAAGAAAGCUGAUGUUUCGGGUCGACACCCUUCUUCAAAAAUGGUGGGGGGAGAAGGGGAUUCUGAAAAAAAUAGGGAGAAGUGGGGAGGCAGACAGAAGAUUGGUAAAGGAGAAGUUAGGUGAAUUGUCCUGUGCUGUCCACUUACUGUCCCCUGCUCCAGAAUCAUAGAAUAAGAGAAUUCUCCAGAAUUAGACCAUAAGGCCAUGAGACAUAGGAGUGGAGGUAAGGCCAUUCGGCCCAUCAAGUCCACUCCGCCAUUUAAAUCAUGGCUGAUGGGCAUUUCAACACCACUUCCCUGCACUCUCCGCGUAGCCCUUGAUUCCUUUUGAGAUCAAGAAUUUGUCGAUCUCUGCCUUGAAGGCGUCCAACAUCCCGGCCUCCACUGCACUCUGCGGCAAUGAAUUCCACAAGCCCACCACUUUCUGCCUGAAGAAAUGUCGUCUGAUUUCAGUUUUAAAUUGACCCCCUCGAAUUUUAAGGCUGUGCCCACGGGUCCUCGUCUCCCCUCCUAACGGAAACAACCUCCUAGCGUCCACCUCUUCUAAACCAUACAUUAUCUUGUAAGUUUUUAUUAGUUCUCCCCUCAACCUUCUAAACUGUAGUGAGUACAAUCCCAGGAUCCUUAGCCAUUCAUCAUAGGUUAAGCCUACCAUUCCAGGGAUCAUCCGUGUGAAUUGGACAAGCACUUCAUUCCAUUGUGUCUGUAACCACUGAAGCCACACUAAGUUCACAUUCGGCUCAUGUUUUAGCAAUAGGCCCGUUGCCUUGAAUGUUAUUUCAUUUUAAGUGCUGUACCAACCCUUUUUCUUUAAUGUGAAAAGAUUAUCCACCACCUCAACUAAAGUCCCAGACAAUGAAUUCCAAACCCCCAGCACCUUCUGGGUGUCUUUUCUUUCCUGAAAUUCCUUCUGAGCCUUUUAGCUUAAAUGUAUGUAUCUCUUCCCCCUGGCUCCCCGACCUCCCACCCCAUGAAUGGUCGUUCUGCUUCCCUCACCUAGACCCAUUAGAAUGCAGACCAUUUUUUCAGGACCUUCUUCAACCUUCUCUCUUUGGAAGAAAACAAGCCAACCUUAUCCAGAUAAAACAGUGAUGCUGCCUGGCCUGCACUGUUCCUCCAACUCCACGCUGUGUUAUCUCAGACUCCAGCAUUGACAGUUCUUGUUAUCUCAAACUUAUCCAGACUCUCCAUCGAGUUAAAAUGCUUCAUCCCCUCAGAACAUCCUGAUGAAUGUCCUCCACACAUGCUCAAAUGCAAUCACCUGUUUUGUAUAAUGAAGAGACCAUUAGAACAUCGAACAGUACAGCGCAGUACAGGCCGUUAGGCCCUCGAUGUUGUGCCGACCCGUCGUACCGAUCUGAAGCCCAUCUAACCUACGCUAUUCCAUGUACGUCCAUAUGCUUAUCCAAUGACGACUUAAAUGUACCGAAAGUUGGCGAAUCUACUACCGUUGCAGGCAAAGCGUUCCAUUCCCUGACUACUCUGAGUAAAGAAACCACCUCUGACAUCUGUCCUAUAUCUUUCACCCCUCAAUUUAAAGCUAUUCUUUCACCCUUCAAUUUAAAGCGAGAGCAGAACUGCACUCAGUCCUUCAGCUGGGGCCUAACCAAACUCCUGCACAGCUCUUCAGCCAUUUGCUUUCCUAACUGUCCCUUUAAGCUGCCAUGCCAUGUUCAGCAAUCUGUGCACAAGCACCCCAAGAUCACACCAUUGCUCUGACCUUCCUGGUGUCCUGGCAUCCAUUGAAAGAUUCCUUGCCAUGUUAGUUCUUCCAAAUUGCAUUACCAUGCACUUAGCAGUGUUAACACUCCAUCUACCACUGACCUGCCCAUUUGACCAAUGUAUAACUUUGGAUUGAACUUGCUGUAUUUUCCUGGACCCCACGAGCUUUUACCUUCUUUGCCAGGCUCCCAUGUGAGACCCUGUCCAAGUCUUUGCUGAAAUCUGUUUUCACUGCAUCAAUUCCCAUCUACACACUCCGUCACCUCUUUGAAAGGAUCAUCUAGGUUUGUGAGGCAUGACCUCCCUCUGACAAAGCUAUGCUGACCGUUGCUGAUCAAACCCCGCUUCUUUCCAAGGAAAUUAAGCCUGCCGUUCAGAAUA